GAUGAACGCUAGCGGCAGGCUUAAUACAUGCAAGUCGAGGGGCAGCAUGAUUGUAGCAAUACAAUUGAUGGCGACCGGCAAACGGGUGCGGAACACGUACACAACCUUCCAACAAGUGGGGGAUAGCCCAGAGAAAUUUGGAUUAAUACCCCGUAACAUAGCGAUGUGGCAUCACAUUGCUAUUAUAGAUUUUUCGCUUGUUGAUGGGUGUGCGGCUGAUUAGAUAGUUGGCGGGGUAACGGCCCACCAAGUCUACGAUCAGUAGCUGAUGUGAGAGCGUAAACAGCCACACGGCACUGAGACACGGGCCCGACUCCUACGGGAGGCAGCAGUAAGGAGUAUUGGACAAUGGACGCAAGUCUGAUCCAGCCAUGCCGCGUGAAGGAUUAAGGUCCUCUGGAUUGUAAACUUCUUUUAUAAGGGACGAAAAAAGGCUUUUCUAGGUCGUCUGACGGUACCUUAUGAAUAAGCACCGGCUAACUCCGUGCCAGCCGCCGCAGUAAAAC
rnacentral:rRNA from 1 species